GAUCCUACGGGCGGCAGCAGUAAGGAAUAUUGGGCAAUGGAGGCAACUCUGACCCAGCCAUGCCGCGUGGAGGAUGAAGGUCCUCUGGAUUGUAAACUUCUUUUAUUUGGGAAGAAAUGCCGACUUUCUAGUUGGUUUGACGGUACCAGAUGAAUAAGCACCGGCUAACUCCGUGCCAGCAGCCGCGGUAAUACGGAGGGUGCAAGCGUUAUCCGGAUUCACUGGGUUUAAAGGGUGCGUAGGCGGGCAUAUAAGUCAGUGGUGAAAUCCCCGAGCUUAACUUGGGAACUGCCGUUGAUACUAUGUGUCUUGAAUAUCGCGGAGGUAAGCGGAAUAUGUCAUGUAGCGGUGAAAUGCAUAGAUAUGACAUAGAACACCGAUUGCGAAGGCAGCUUACUACACGAUCAUUGACGCUGAGGCACGAAAGCGUGGGGAGCAAACGGGAUUAGAUACCCCUGUAGUCCUG
rnacentral:rRNA from 1 species